GUGCUCGCUUUGGCAGCACAUAUACUAAAAUUGGAAUGAUACAGAGAUUAGCAUGGCCCAGCACAAGGAUGACAUGCAAAUUCAUGAAGCGUUCCAUAUAUAU
ensembl:snRNA U6 U6 spliceosomal RNA